AGAGUUUGAUCAUGGCUCAGGACGAACGCUGGCGGCGUGCCUAACACAUGCAAGUGGAGCGACGAACCAGGCUUCGGCCUGGGGCAAAGCCGCGAACGGGUGAGUAACACGUGGGUAACCUGCCCCGAUGAUCGGGACAACCCGAGGAAACUCGGGCUAAUACCGAAUGUGCCCUCCGACCAUAAGGUCGCUGGGGAAAGGAAGCUUCGGCCUUCGCAUCGGGAUGGGCCCGCGGCCCAUUAGCUUGUUGGUGAGGUAACGGCUCACCAAGGCGACGAUGGGUAGCUGGUCUGAGAGGACGAUCAGCCACACUGGGACUGAGACACGGCCCAGACUCCUACGGGAGGCAGCAGUGGGGAAUCUUGCGCAAUGCGCGAAAGCGUGACGCAGCAACGCCGCGUGGGGGAAGAAGGCCUUCGGGUUGUAAACCCCUUUCAGUUGGGACGAAGCUUCGUCGGUGAAUAGCCGGCCGGAGUGACGGUACCUUCAGAAGAAGCCCCGGCUAACUACGUGCCAGCAGCCGCGGUAAUACGUAGGGGGCAAGCGUUGUCCGGAAUCAUUGGGCGUAAAGAGCGUGUAGGCGGCCUGGUAAGUCCGCUGUGAAAGUCCAGGGCUCAACCCUGGAAUGCCGGUGGAAACUGUCAGGCUCGAGUCCGGAAGAGGCGAGUGGAAUUCCUGGUGUAGCGGUGAAAUGCGCAGAUAUCAGGAGGAACACCAAUGGCGAAGGCAGCUCGCUGGGACGGUACUGACGCUGAGACGCGAAAAGCGUGGGGAGCAAACAGGAUUAGAUACCCCCGUAGUCC
rnacentral:rRNA from 1 species